rnacentral:rRNA from 1 species
ACAUGCCUACAACAUAGUGUUAAUGCAUCGGAUCCCAUUAUAACUUUGUAGUUAAGUACACUCAAUCUAGAGUAGUUACUAGGAUGGGUGAUCACCUGGGAAUUCCUAGUGUUACAUGUC